rnacentral:rRNA from 1 species
AACGCGUAUGCAAUCUACCUUUUACAGAGGGAUAGCCCAGAGAAAUUUGGAUUAAUACCUCAUAGUAUUACGAAAUGGCAUCAUUUUGUAAUUAAAGUCACAACGGUAAAAGAUGAGCAUGCGUCCCAUUAGCUAGUUGGUAAGGUAACGGCUUACCAAGGCUUCGAUGGGUAGGGGUCCUGAGAGGGAGAUCCCCCACACUGGUACUGAGACACGGACCAGACUCCUACGGGAGGCAGCAGUGAGGAAUAUUGGACAAUGGGCGCAAGCCUGAUCCAGCCAUGCCGCGUGCAGGAUGACGGUCCUAUGGAUUGUAAACUGCUUUUAUACGAGAAGAAACACUCCGACGUGUCGGAGCUUGACGGUAUCGUAAGAAUAAGGAUCGGCUAACUCCGUGCCAGCAGCCGCGGUAAUACGGAGGAUCCAAGCGUUAUCCGGAAUCAUUGGGUUUAAAGGGUCCGUAGGCGGUUUAAUAAGUCAGUGGUGAAAGCCCAUCGCUCAACGGUGGAACGGCCAUUGAUACUGUUAAACUUGAAUUAUUAGGAAGUAACUAGAAUAUGUAGUGUAGCGGUGAAAUGCUUAGAGAUUACAUGGAAUACCAAUUGCGAAGGCAGGUUACUACUAAUGGAUUGACGCUGAUGGACGAAAGCGUGGGUAGCGAAGAGGAUUAGAUACCCUGGUAGUCCACGCCGUAAACGAUGGAUACUAGCUGUUGG